GAUGCCACAUGGAGAUUACUGUGAGUUGAUCAAAGUACCAAUACAGCGCACUUUCUUUUUUUUCCAGAGGAAAUCCAGCUGCCAACUUGAAAACAGACCCACCCAUUUUGACACACACAUAAAGUGUCCAGUUAACAAAAGUCUAUAUACAUAGUUGGGCAAAAGGAGGAAGUCCAUCUCAGACAGACACGCCGUAUCCUUAAGAAGGAAGUCAAGUAACAAGAUCUUAACUGGGAAAAAGAUGGGAAACGAGCAGUCAGUAAACAUAGAAGAGCUAUCCAAGAAUGGGACAAUUCCUGAAAAGCAUGAGAAUGGAACCGUGAAUGGCAUCUCUAUAGAAGUCACGUCUGGCGGACUGGAGAUUAAUGGUAAAAGUGAAACUACAGUCUGCCAAAAUGGCAAGGCCCACUCUUUAAACUCUGCCAUACAAUCAACUGA